rnacentral:tRNA from 1 species
UUCCUGAAAAUCCAGUGGUUAGGACUCAGUACUUGCACUGCUGUGACCCAGGUUCAAUCCCUAGUUGGGGAA